UACAGAGGUGCCGAGCGUUAGGCGGAAUCACUGGGCUUAAAGCGCGUGUAGGCGGACUUCUAAGUACCUUGUGAAAUCCCACGGCUCACCCGUGGAACUGCUGGGUAUACUGGUCGUCUUGAGCCACCUAGGGGUCAGCGGAACAAAUGGUGGAGCGGUGAAAUGCGUAGAUAUCAUUUGGAACGCCAACGGUGAAAACAGCUGGCUGGGGGUGUGCUGACGCUGAGACACGAAAGCCGGGGGAGCGAACGGG
rnacentral:rRNA from 1 species